rnacentral:misc_RNA from 1 species
GGAAAAGUUCCCGUCGAUGUUCCUCGAUCUGACUUUAGUCAUUUCCCUCAUUCAACACUAUUAGGCCAAAUCCAUUGGACUCCUAAAUGCUUCGACUCUGUACAGCUACAUAUUUUGCUGUAAAGCAUAAAGAAAGGAAAUACAAUUGCAAUUUGUAACCAUGCGGCCUUCAAUCAUGAGCACCAUAGGAGGAAAUCCCAGCUGCCAUAAAGAAAAGCAAUUAAGAUUUUUGAAAUGGAUUUUUAAAGUCCUGGAUUUGAAGAAUGGUCAGUUUAUGCUAUUGUGACUAGACUAACUAUAUUACAUAGGAGUGAAUUUUGGACAUUUAAGAUAUAAUAUAGAAUGUAAUAGAAAUGCAGAUAGUAUUAUAAUAAUGAAUAAGAUUACUAAUGAUUGCAAUCG